GGCGGUAUAGCAAAGUGGCAAUGCACUUUCCUCGCAAGGAAGUAUCGCGGGUUCGAGUCCCGCUACCGCCUCCA
rnacentral:tRNA from 1 species